CCUACGGGAGGCAGCAGUGGGGAAUAUUGCACAAUGGGGGCAACCCUGAUGCAGCGACGCCGCGUGAGUGAAGAAGUCUUUCGGUAUGUAAAGCUCUAUCAGCAGGGAAGAAAAUGACGGUACCUGUUCAAGUAGGCCCGUCUAACUACGUUCCAGCAGCCGCGGUAAUACGUAGGGGGCGAGCGUUAUCCGGAUUUACUGGGUGUAAAGGGAGCGUAGACGGCAGGACAAGUCAGGAGUGAAAUGCCGGGGCUCAACCCCGGAACUGCUUUGGAAACUGUGCAGCUAGAGUGCAGGAGAGGUAGGCGGAAUUCCUGGUGUAGCGGUGAAAUGCGUAGAUAUUAGGAGGAACACCGGUGGCGAAGGCGGCUUACUGGACUGUAACUGACGUUGAGGCUCGAAAGCGUGGGGAGCAAACAGGAUUAGAUACCCGGGUAGUC
rnacentral:rRNA from 1 species